rnacentral:rRNA from 1 species
ACGAACGCUGGCGGCGUGCUUAACACAUGCAAGUCGAACGGAAAGGCCCUGCUUUUGUGGGGUGCUCGAGUGGCGAACGGGUGAGUAACACGUGAGUAACCUGCCCUUGACUUUGGGAUAACUUCAGGAAACUGGGGCUAAUACCGGAUAUGAGCUCCUGCUGCAUGGUGGGGGUUGGAAAGUUUCGGCGGUUGGGGAUGGACUCGCGGCUUAUCAGCUUGUUGGUGGGGUAGUGGCUUACCAAGGCUUUGACGGGUAGCCGGCCUGAGAGGGUGACCGGCCACAUUGGGACUGAGAUACGGCCCAGACUCCUACGGGAGGCAGCAGUGGGGAAUAUUGCACAAUGGGCGGAAGCCUGAUGCAGCAACGCCGCGUUCGGGAUGAAGGCCUUCGGGUUGUAAACCGCUUUCGCCUGUGACGAAGCGUGAGUGACGGUAAUGGGUAAAGAAGCACCGGCUAACUACGUG